GGGGACAACCCGCCGAAAGGCGGGCUAAGCCCGCGUAUAUCUCCCCGGGGCAUCCCGGGGGGAGGAAAGGAGCGAUCCGGACAGGGAUGGGCAUGCGGCGCAUUAGCUGGUCGGCGGGGUAACGGCCCACCGAGGCGACGAUGCGUAGGGGUUCUGAGAGGAAGGCCCCCCACACUGGUACUGAGACACGGACCAGACUCCUACGGGAGGCAGCAGUGAGGAAUAUUGGUCAAUGGGCGGGAGCCUGAACCAGCCAAGCCGCGUGAGGGAAGAAGGUACAGCGUAUCGUAAACCUCUUUUGUCAGGGAACAAAGGCGGGGACUAGUCCCCGGAUGAGGGUACCUGAAGAAAAAGCAUCGGCUAACUCCGUGCCAGCAGCCGCGGUAAUACGGAGGAUGCGAGCGUUAUCCGGAUUUAUUGGGUUUAAAGGGUGCGCAGGCGGCCCGUUAAGUCAGCGGUAAAAGCCCGGGGCUCAACCCCGGCGAGCCGUUGAAACUGGCGGGCUGGAGUUGGAGAGAGGUACGCGGAAUGCGCGGUGUAGCGGUGAAAUGCUUAGAUAUCGCGCAGAACCCCGAUUGCGAAGGCAGCGUACCGGCUCCACACUGACGCUGAGGCACGAAAGCGUGGGUAUCGAACAGGAUUAGAUACCCUGGUAGUCCACGCAGUAAACG
rnacentral:rRNA from 1 species